CACCUUGAUCUUUUCAUUCAUUUCUAAUAUCUCUUGAUCUCUCUAUAAAUACCAACUUUAAAGUGUAGUGCUUCCCAUCCUCUCAGGCUUGAUUGAAGCUAUUAACACCCACAAAUAUCUUAUCAUCAAUCAAUUAGAAAUAAUGCCCUUCCUGAGUGCCUUGAAAUUGAUGUCAUUUUCUACUGUGCUAAUAAUAUUUUUAUGCCUCAUGUCCUCCAACUUCGCUGCUGCAGGCCUUAACCCUGCGGACUAUAAACUCGGGCGAAAGCUUUUCCAGGGAUCCGAAUAUCCACAAUCAUAUGGCCCAUAUGGUGGUGGCGGAGGAUAUGUUCCAUCAAACAACGGUUAUCCAUGAUUGGAAAAAUAACCAAUGGCCCGUAGCCAUGCAUCCAGUUUACUCCCCCAUACUUAGCUAAUAUAAACAAAUAAAUUGAACAUGUCACAAUUUGAGAUAUAAUAACCCCAAUCAUUAUGUUUCGUGCGUGUUUGUAUUAGAAUUGUAAUAAACGGGUUUGUUUUCUUUGAAA